AAUAUUGGACAAUGGGCGAAAGCCUGAUCUAGCCAUGCCGUGUUUUUGAAGAAGGUCUCAGGAUUGUAAAGCAUUUUAAGUAGAGAGGAAGGGCAGUAAGCUAAUACUUUGCUGUUCUGACGUUAUCCACAGUAUAUGCACCGGAUCACUUCGUGCCAGCCUCCGCGGUAAUACGAAUGGUGCAAGCGUUAAUCGGAAAUACUGGGCGUAAAGCGCGCGUAGUUGGUUUGUUAAGUUGGAAGUGAAAGCCCCGGGCUCAACCUGGGAACUGCUUUCAAAACUGGCAAGCUAGAGUAUGGCAGAGGGUGGUGGAAUUUCCUGUGUAGCGGUGAAAUGCGUAGAUAUAGGAAGGAACACCAGUGGCGAAGGCGACCACCUGGGCUAAUACUGACACUGAGGUGCGAAAGCGUGGGGAGCAAACAGG
rnacentral:rRNA from 1 species